GUGGGAGGAAGCGCGUCCCAAGGCCCAGGAUCUGCGAGGCGACUUGGGGAAAACGCAGGCAGAAAAUAAAGCAUGCGAAGAAGUUAACUUGGUGCCAUUGGGCAGAGGGUGAGAGCCCAGCAAACCGGAGAGAUCAGCUGCCCACAUCAGUGGCGAGGAGUGCGGAGAGUGGGUGAGGCUGGGGCAGGAAGCAGGCCAGCCUGCCAGAGCCCAGGAACAGGACCUGCUGAAGCUCACACCCGUGGACCACCCAGACUGCCUGCCGCUACAGGAUGCCCUCCGCAUCUCCCAGGACUUCUUUCCGGCAUCAGUGUGGACAUUGACCCCACUGGACUGCAGUCACAGUGGACUCCCAAGGGGCAGGAUCCACCUCUGAUGUUCAGUGAAGACUACCAGAAAAGUCUGCUAGAGCAGUACCAUCUGGGUCUGGAUCAAAAACUCAGAAAAUACGUGGUUGGAGAGCUCAUCUGGAAUUUUGCCGAUUUCAUGACUAACCAGUGUGGUUGAGGAGUGGGCCCAGGGCACCUUCAAACUCAACCCCAAUGAUGAGGACAUCCACACAGCCAACAAGUGCCACCUGAAGG
rnacentral:lncRNA from 1 species